UACGUAGGGUGCGAGCGUUGUCCGGAAUUAUUGGGCGUAAAGAGCUCGUAGGCGGCUUGUCGCGUCGGAUGUGAAAAGCCCCGGGGCUUAACUCCGGGUCUGCAUUCGAUACGGGCAGGCUAGAGUUCGGUAGGGGAGAUCGGAAUUCCUGGUGUAGCGGUGAAAUGCGCAGAUAUCAGGAGGAACACCGGUGGCGAAGGCGGAUCUCUGGGCCGAUACUGACGCUGAGGAGCGAAAGCGUGGGGAGCGAACAGG
rnacentral:rRNA from 1 species